rnacentral:rRNA from 2 species
AUAACGACUCUCGGCAACGGAUAUCUCGGCUCUCGCAUCGAUGAAGAACGUAGCGAACUGCGAUACUUGGUGUGAAUUGCAGAAUCCCGUGAACCAUCGAGUCUUUGAACGCAAGUUGCGCCCGAAACCUUCGGGUCGAGGGCACGUUUGCCUGGGUGUCAC